GAAAAUUUUAUUUAAAGCAUUUUGAUUUGCGUUGAGGAGUGUGUCUUCAAGAUGAAGGUGAAUAACUGCGAUAAAGAUUAUCGGUUCUUUCGCAGAAAUCAAAAUGGAAGAAUAAUAAAACGGAGAUGGGUGGCAGAAGGUUGAAAAACAGAGAAACCAUGGGCGUUGAAUCGGUGGCGCCGUCGCCACCACCUCCGAGAUCGGAAGGAAACACCGCUUUGCUCCAAAAUCCCAAUAUACCCUUCGCACUGGCUCUUCUCUUCGCUGACGCCGUCCUCGUCACUCUCAUAAUCACAUUUGUACCUUAAAGCUAUUGUUGAACGUAGGAGGAAAGUUGACACCGAAAAGAGGGUCUAUGAUUCCCAAGCUGCGGUUGCACUUCACCGGAAGACUCAUGAAAAUGCCAUCAGAGGUUAUAUUCUGAACCUCGAACUCGCCGAUUUUGACUUUCAUACUGUUGUUGCUGCAGUUUAGUUUGACUUUGCUGUCAGAACAGAACCCAAAAGGGUAUUUUAGGGAAUGUUGUCCGCAACUGGACUGGCAGUUGCUGCUGGUUUGGGCGAUGGUUGAACAGUAAACGAAAAUGGUGAGAAGCAGUGCGAACUUUGUGCUGCGGUGGAACAUAUCUGGAUGCGAAAUGAAACUUGGAUUUGAGGGAACGGUGUAAUCAUCAGCUUUCUGUUGUAAUAAAGAGUUGGGCUUUUGAAGAAGUUGGAAAAGCGUAUAAAUAUAUGAUUCACUUUGGAGAAACAGAAAUUAAAUCCUGUCGUGGAUUCAAGGUGUCUUGAAAUUCUGAAAAUUAUGGUUGACGGAGGUGUAAGAAAGAGGGGUUUGGUGGGGGUGGGGGUGGUGAUAGAGUUGGUGAGGCGGAG
rnacentral:sRNA from 1 species